UGGGAGCAGGAACGGAAGGACUAUCCCGUAACUUCCGCUUUCGAAGUCUGAUAAAUGCCGGCAUGGAAGGGCGUGGCCUCUCUCAGCAGAAGAAAUCCUACGACUGGUCGACUGGCCGAGAGUCUGAGGGUACUCCAGUCAACAGACGAAGAGUCCCAGCUUCUACCACAGUCAAGGUUGUGGUCCUCUGUCACCCACCCUCCUGCCCACAUUCCUUCCCACUACCACCAAGAGAAGUGAGCAUGUCUCAGAGUC